rnacentral:tRNA from 1 species
CCUUAGAUGACUGAGUAAUAAGUGUUAGAUUUUUAAUCUAAAAACGGCAGAGCUUUAAUGUGCCUCUAAGGA